AGACUACAGACGGGGGAGCCUCUGGGGCUGCAGACACUGCAGACGGACGGACAGACAGAUGGACAACAGCUGGAGGCUUGGCCCCAGCCAUAGGGCUCUCUGCGGGACAGUCCCAGCUGCUAGUGUUGCUGUUGCUGCUACUGACCCGUGUCCAGCCUGGGACAGACGUGGCUGCCCCAGAGCACAUCAGCUAUGUGCCCCAGCUCUCAAACGACACCCUGGCGGGGAGGCUCACCCUGUCCACCUUCACGCUGGAGCAGCCUCUAGGCCAGUUCAGCAGCCACAACAUCUCUGACUUGGAUACCAUCUGGCUGGUGGUGGCCCUCAGCAACGCCACCCAGAGCUUCACGGCCCCACGGACAAACCAGGACAUCCCUGCUCCUGCCAACUUCUCCCAGAGGGGCUACUAUCUCACACUGAGGGCCAACCGGGUGCUGUACCAGGCCAGAGGCCAGCUCCAUGUCCUCCGUGUUGGCAAUGAUACCCACUGCCAACCAACAAAAAUUGGCUGCAACCAUCCCCUACCAGGACCGAGCCCCUACAGGGUGAAGUUCCUGGUGAUGAAUGACAAAGGACCCGUGGCUGAAACAAAGUGGUCCAGCAACACUCGCCUGCAGCAAGCUUCAACAGCUGCAGGAGCACUUCCCUAUCAGGCCCAGAGGAGACAGGGAGUGUGAGAAGAUACACCACGCACCUCGCGUUCAGCACUCUGGCCGAGGGGGAUUCCUGAGGGGUACCAGAGGGGCCCACGUGUCCCUACACCUCCUCCCUGGCCCAGGCUGCAGAGCCUGGGCUGGGACACGCCCUGAAGCUUCUGGACCCUGAGAGAGAUUGUUUCUUUUCUUUACUUUUUUUUUUUUUUUUUUUUUUUUUGAGACGGAGUCUCACUCUGUCGCCAGGCUGGCGCGAUCUUGGCUCACUGCAACACGGGUUCAAGCGAUUUUCCUGCUUCAGCCUCCUGAGUAGCUGGGACUACAGGCACACGCCGCCAUGCCCAGCUCAUUUUUGUAUUUUUAGUAGAGAUGGGGUUUCACCAUGUUGGCCAGGAUGGCCUCCAUCUCUUGACCUUGUGAUCUGCCUGACUCGGCCUCCCGAAGUGCUGGGAUUACAGGCGUGAGCCAUCAAGUCUGGCGAGAGAGAUUGUUUCUAGAUGAGGGUGGGGGCGGGUGUCCUUAGCCCAAAGCUUGUGCCAGUCUCUAUCAGAAAUAAAUGCCCCCAACACCUCCCUGCCUGCCUCUGACAUCAUACACCUGGGUAGUCUUUCUGCACCACUGCCCCUGGCUCCUCCUCCUGAGGAGGUCCCCAAGGGCGUGUAGGACCAGGGCAAGGCUCAGGAUCCUAGAGAAAUUGUCACCUGGGGCAGGACAGGUCUCUCUGCCAGCCUUACUGUCCCUAUCUGUAAAAUGAGGAUGGUAACCCUGAACCCACAAGGCCACAGUAAGGCUAAACCAAGGUGAACAUGCCUUGGGAACUGUGAAGACUGUGGACCCAAAGCCGGUUGCGGUGGCUCAGGCCUGUAAUCCCAGCACUUUGGGAGGCUGAGGCAGGAGGAUCACUUGAGCCCAGGAGUUCGAGACCAGCCUGGGCAACAUGGUGAAACCCUAUCUCUACAAAAAUGACAAAAAAUUAGCUGGGCUUGUUGGCAGACUGUGGACCUGAGAUAGGUGCUCCUCUUGUCCUGCCCAGACAGCCUCCUGGUAACCAAAGGCCACGGGGCAGCAUGGCUGGCACUUGCUAUCUUUCCACCCAAGCAUCCUCCCUGUGGCCCCUCUCCCCAGCCUGCCCCCUGUUGGCUGGAGGACUUCAAGCCCUCUGCCUCCACUUCCUCCAAUCCUUUCCUAGAGUACACGAAAGGCAAAAGGUGCAGUUUCUUUUUUUUUUUUUUUUUUGAAAUGGAGUUUCACCUUAUAGCCCAGGCUGGAGUGCAGUGGCACCAUCAUAGCUCACUGCAGUCUCUAAUUCCUGGGCUCCAGUGAUCCUCCCACCUCAGCCUCCUGAGAGUAGCUGGGACUACAGGCACAUGACACCACGUCUGGCUAAUUUUUAAUUUUUUUGUAGACAUGGAAUCUUACUCUGUUGCCCAGGCUGGAAAGAACAGUGGUGUGAUCAUAGCUCAUUGCAGCCUCAAACUCCUGGGUGCAAGCGAUCCUCCCGCCUCAGCCUCCUGAGUAGCUUGGACUGUAGGUACAUGGCACCAUGUCUGGCUAAUUUUUUAAAUUUCUUUAGAGACGGGGUCUCACUAUGUUGCCCAGGCUGGUCUCGAACUCCUGGUCUCAAGUGAUCCUCCUGCUGGGAUUACAGGCGUGAGCCACUGUGCCCAGCUCAUGCAACACUUAUCAUCAGGAUUCCCACUCAGUGCUCGGACCCCAGGGGCCAGAGAUGCCCGUGGCAAGGUUCUGCCCUCAAGGUGCCCACUGCUUUAGGGGGAGGACAGUGAUACUACCACAUACGAGAGAAGGAGAGGACACAACUGUCAGGGAGAUGGACUGUUUGAGCUUCAGAGGCAGCAUCUUGGGGAGGGGUGGCUUUGAAGAAGGAGCAGGACACUUGGGCCAGGUGGACCUUGGAAGGGUGCCAGGCAGGAGGAGCAAUGUGUUGCUGAUGGGCAGGUAGGGGAGGGUGAGGGAUGGAGAGGAGACCGGAAGACACCCUGUGCCAUGUGGAGGGGCCCCGCCCUCUGGGGCAAGAGGUCAGGGAGGAGGGCGCUGGCUGGGUUCCCAGGCGCCUGCCCCUGAGAGGCGCAAAUGGCCCUAAUGGGGUUAUUAGGUGGAGCAGAUGCAUCCGGCUCCUGCUGUGGAGGAAAUGCUCAAAUGAUCUUGAAGCUACCAGGCUGGGAGAGGCAGGCAGGGGAUGGGGCAGACAGGCUGCCAACCUCUGUGAGAUAAGCCCUGGCCUCUCCAGAACCUUUUCAGAACAGCUUUGAGCCCCAACCCUGGGGCUGAGUGACCCAAGACAGAUCACUCACACUCUCUGGGCCUCAGUUUCCCCUUACAUAAAAAGCAAUGGUUAGGCCAGGUGCAGAUGGCUCACACCUCUAAUCCUAGUGCUUUGGGAGGCCGAGGUGGGAGGAUUGCUUGAGACCAAGAGUUCAAGUCCAGCCUGGGCAACAUAGCAACACCCCAUCUCUACAAAAUAUAAAUACAAAAAUUAAGGCUGGGCAUGGUGGUUAAGGCCAGGCGUGGUGGCUCACACUUGGAAUCCCAGCAUUUUGGGAGGCAGAAGCAGGAGGAUCACCUGAGGUCAGGAGUUUGAGACCAACCUGGCCAACAUGGUGAAACCCCGUCUCUACACAAAAUACAAAAAUUAGCCAGCCAUGGUGGUGCAUGCCUGUAAUCCCUGCUACUGUGGAGGUUGAGGCAGGAGAAUCACUUGAACCCAGGUGAAGGAGGUUUCAGUGAGCCCAGAUCAUGCCACUGCACUCCAGCCUGGGUGACAGGGAACAAGACUGUCUCAAAACAAAACAAAAGAAAAAUUAGCCAGACAUGGUAGUGUGAACCUGCAGUCCCAGCUACUAUGGAGGCUGAGGUGGGAGGAUCGCUUGAGCCCAGGAGUUGGAGGCUGCAGUGAGCUAUGAUGGCACCCCUGGACGCCAGCCUCUGUGACAGAGCAAGACCCUGUCUCUAAAAUGAAACAUUUUUAAAAGGGAAGGUGAACUGGGUGAACUCUAAGACCCUGCAUUUCACAAACCCUUGCCCACACCCUGUAUGCGUCGGGCCCUGGCAGGAAACAGAGGGUACGCUGUCUCACAGGGCAAUUGAGAGCGUUUACAAAGGUGUGGGCAGCAUUAGGGGAAUGGACCAGAGAGGGUGACCUGGGACUUGGCUGUAAUGGGGCCCUAAGCACUCCUGGAUCUGAUUGCUGAUGGGAGGGAGGGAGUGAUGUUUCCUGGAUCAGCAGGCAGUAGCCAUGGGUGAGGGGCCCCGCAGGAGCAGGGGCUGUAGGUGAAAGGAUGAAGCCACCAGAGGGAACUGGGCUCUGUCUUCCCGCCCCCUGAUCUCAUGCCAGUGUCUCCACUGGCCACACCUCACGAGAAGCAAGAGAGUGUGGGGUCUCAGUGGUGCAGUCCCUGGAGGCCAAUCUGCUGGGUCAGAGCAGGACAGAGAAAGCGAAAUGGACAUACAGAGGCACACGCCACUUUCAUGCUGAUCCAGUGGAAUUAGAUCCUUCCUGUUCUUUCUUUUCUUUCUUUCUUUUUUUUUUUUUUUUCCUUUUUUAGAGAUGGGGUCUCACUCUGUUGCCCAGGGUGGGGUAUGGUGGCGUCUUCAUAGCUCACUGUAGCACUGAACUCCUGGGCUCAGGCGAUCCUCCCACCUUGGCCUCCCAAAGUGCUGGGAUUUCAGGCACUACAGGCACCUAGCUAACUUUCUUUCUUUCUUUUUUUUUUUUUUGGGUAGAGGCAGGGUCUCCGUCACCCAGGCUUGAGUGCAGUGGCACGAUCAUAGCUCACUGCAGCCUUGAACCCCUGGGUUCAAGCAAUCCUCCCACCUCAGCCUCCCAAGUAGCUGGGAUUAUAGGAUGUGCCACCACCCAGCUAAUUUUUUUAUUUUUUGUAGAGAUGGGGUCUCGCCAUGUUGCCCAGGCUAGUUUGGAACUCCUGAGCUCAAGAGAUGCUCCCACCUUGGCCUCCCAAAGUGCUGAAAUUACAAGCAUAAGCCACCAUGCCUGGCCUCCCUUCCUGGCCUUCUGGUCUCCAGACUGGAGAGAGGGCCACAAAGUCCUGCCCAGACAGAGGGCUGCUAAGGCUGGGGUGGGGCUGGGGGUGUGCAGAAGGGACUCUGCAGGGGCUGACCUCUGAGUCUCAGGGGACAGGGCAAAUUUUUUUUUUUUUUUUUUUUUGAGAUGGAGUCUUGCUCUGUCGCCCAGGCUGGAGUACAAUGGCACGAUCUCGGCUCACUGCAAUCUCCGCCUCCUGGGUUCAAGUGAUUCUCAUCUCUCAGCCUCCCGAGUAGCUGGGAUUACAGGAGUGCACCACCAUGCCCAGCUAAUUUUUGUAUUUUUAGUAGAGAUUGGGCGGGGUGGGGGGUGGGGUGCAGGUUUCACCGUGUGGCCCAAGCUGGUCUCAAACUCCUGACCUCAAGUGAUCCUUCCGCUUCAGCCUCCCCAGGUGCUGGGAUUACAGGCAUGAGCCACCGCACCCAGCGGGGACAGGACAAUUUUGCCAGCUGGAGAAGGGGUGGCCCCCAAAUGUCCCCUUCACCACCCUCCUGCCUCUUCCUUCAGAACACUUUUUCCCUGAAGCCCUCCUGGGUAGCCCCCUACCCACAUGCCUCAGCAUUGGGAUGUGGGGAGUGUGGGGGUCCCCCUUGCUCCUCAGCCCCAUUUGGAGUAAUGUCCUGUGCAGCUGAGCUCACAACUCCUCCUCCACCUGUCCCUCCACCCGGUGUCACUGGCAAUUGCUCACUUCCUGGGCCUGCACCCACUCAGCUCCCCUAUCCCUGGGCACCAGCCUCAGCCAGCUCCCAUGUGGACUAAUGACCCUUGUCCCUCCCCUCAGCUGCCUCUCUUUUUUCUUUUUUUUUGUUUUUGAGACAGAGUCUGGCUCUGUCACCCAGGCUGGAGUGCAGUGGCGCGAUCUUGACUCAUUGCAACCUCCACCUCCUGGGUUCAAGCGAUUCUCGUGCCUCACCCUCCUGAAUAGCUGGGAUUACAGGCACCCGCCACCAUGCCCGGCUGAUUUUUGUAUUUUGGUAGAGACGGGGUUUCACCAUGUUGGCCAGGCUGGUCUCAAACUCCCGACCUCAGGUGAUCCGCCCGCCUCAGCCUCCCAAAGUGCUGGGAUUACAGGCAUGAGGCAGCUCGCCCGGCAACCCUCAGCUGCCUCUCAUAUGUCCUUGGCCCCCUGGCCAUCUCUGACCAGACAUCCAGGAGGCCCCUCCUGCCAAUAUGCUUCCCCGACAGCUGAGCCCAAAGCUGCCUCCAGCCCUGCACCUUGUCUUGGUUCCCUGGGUGCUCCCUUUCCCAGGCUGAAGCCUGGACAGCCCCAGGCAACCUCUCUCCCUGGCCACAGUACCACCCGGCCACAUGCCACACUGCUUUCUACAGCAGACACCGCCUGGCCACAAAGACUUAAGCCACUUCCUUGGGUCCUGCUCAGUGCUGAGCCCAGAGCCCAAUCUCGGACUGGGAGAGAGCCCAGUACAUGGCCAGUGGGAUUCUCCCGAUGAAAAUCCCAGCCAUGCGAGGCUGGCUUCUCCAGGUUCUCUGGGGCCUGUGAGUCCAGGGCUGGCUGGAGGGAAAGCCCCUGGCCCCUUAAAGCCACUGAUCAUGUUCCCAGAGAGGGAUCCUGAGAAUCCCCUGGGAGAGAAAAUGUCGGAGCCCCAGUCCUGGCCCCCCCUUGACCGGCUUGGGCCUCAGCCUCCUCAUCCAUGAAAAGAAUGGACAAGAGGGGUCUGGGUGCGGUGGCUCACGCCUGUAAUCCCAGCACUUUGGGAGGCCGAGGCAGGUGGAUCACGAGGUCAGGAGUUCAAGACCAGCCUGGUCAACAUGGCAAAACCCUGUCUCUACUAAAAAUACAAAAAUUAGCCGGGUAUGGUGGUGCACGCCUGUAGUUCCAGCUAUUUAGGAGGCUGAGGCAGUAGGAUCACUGGAACCUGAGAGGCAGAAGUUGCAGUGAGCUGAGAUUGUGCCACGGCACUCCAGCCUGGGCAAUAGAGCCAGACUCCAUCUUAAAAAAAAAAAAAAAAGGAGGGACAAGAGGCACCAGAAGCUCCUGUCCAGGUCUGGGCCUCCCUUGGGUCACUCAGUUCUCCCCCAUUCAUUCAUUCAUUCAUUCACUCACUCACUCACUCACUCACUCACUCAUUCCCACACUCUGCAGCCACUGACUUCAGCUAGCCAUGCUGGAUGCUAAGACAUAGAGUCCCGGCCAUCAAGGCCAGUCCAUCUCAGUGGCAUCUAGACAUGCACAGAGAUGACCAGGGAGCCCUUGAGGGACAGAGAGGCACACCCUGCCUCCUGAUCCCAUCUGGGGGCUGCAUGAAGGAGGGGCACAGGUGUGGCCUUGAAGGCUGGGUAAGGGGCUGGGAGGGCUUUAGGGGCAUUCCAGGGGGCAGGCACAGAGCUGGAGGCUCUGCCAGGCACACCCACAGGAGAGCAAUGGCUGGAGGGUGACAUGGACUGCAGGGUGUGGCCGCGGCAGCCCAGCUCUUAAGGGGACAGCCUGGGAAAACAGACUUAGGGACAAUGAUCUUGAGCCAUGAAAUGAUGUCCAAUGCCCCUUGUGCCACCUGACAUCAGCCUGAUUAAUGAACAAACAGAAGAGGAAGCAGGGGACCUGUGUGUCCCUCUCUCUGCUUUUCUGUCUUUCUCCGUGCCCCCUCUCUUAUGUCUCUCACGCUGUCUCUUGUCCUUGUUUUUAACUCUGACACGCCGUGGGAACUCGGCUCACUUCCUAGGGGGAAGCUGUCUGGACUGGCCCAGAGAUGGGCACCACCAUUUCCCAAUAAACACAAGAUAAAAUCAGAGAGCUGGCGUCAGUUCCACGGCUGGACUCAGUGGGGAAAAGGGCAAAAAGCAGCAGAAAUAAGAGCAGGGAAAGAACGGGCUGGGUGCGAUGGGUCCCAUCUGUAAUCCCAGCGCUUUGGGAGGCCUAGGUGGGAGGAUCGCUUGAGCCCAGAAGUUCAAGACCAGCCUGGGCAACAUACGGAGACCCCCAUCUCUUAAAAAGUUUUAAAAAUUAGCUGGGCAUGGUAGUGUGCAUCUGUGGUCCCAGCUACUCAGGAGGCCGAGGUGUGAGGAUCGCUUGAGCCCAGGAGGUCGAGGCUGCAGUGAGCUAUGAUUGCAUCACUGCACUCCAGCCCGGGCACAGAGCAAGACCCUGAGACCUUGUCAGAAAGAAAUAAAGAGAGAAAGAGAGAGGAGAGGGAGAGGGAGAAAGAAAGGGAGAGAGAGAGAGAGAGAAAGAUGAAAGAAAGAAAAAGAAAGCAAAGAAAGAAGGAAGGAAAGAAAGAGGAAAGAGGAAGGAAGGAAGGAGAGGGGAAGGAAGGAAGGAGAGGGGAAGGAAGGAAGGAGGGGAAGGAAGGAGAGAGGAAGGAAGGAGAGGGGAAGGAAGGAGGGGAAGGAAGGAGAGAGAAAGGAAGGAAGGAAGGAGGGAAGGGAAGGAAAGGGGAGGGGAGGAGAAGGAGAAAAGAAAGAAAGGAAAAAGAGCAAGUGGAUAUCAGGGGACAGAAACCAUUCGCAGCCCAUCCCUCAGCAGAUGCAGAGGGAGUCAGCCUGGAACCCCCACCCCUGCUGGCUGUGCCCCACGGCUGUCUCCACACCCCAGCCCUUCCUCCAGACACCCAGCCGUCCACUGCAGCAGGAGCACAGGUGCCCCAAGGGGACCACUGUUGGAAACCAGGCAGCCCUCCACUCACCCACACAGUGUGUCUCUGCACCCCCUCUUUGACAUGGGAGCCGGGGCGCUCUUGGAAAUAAGGGUUUACCUGAGGGGUCUGAAGACUUGGGCAGUGGGGGGCUGUGAAGCCUCGGGGAGGGAAUCAGCUUGUCCAAGAGUCUGGGGCAGCGAGUGGGCGGGGGCUACCCGGUCUGACCCCAUCAAAGUAACCUUCCUGGGGGAUAUUUCCAUUGCAGGGUCACAAAAAGGCAAGGGCUAUGGUUCGAGAGAGGGGUCUCUCUGGGGUCCCAGCCACCCUGCUGUGGGGGCCCUUCCCAAGCAGGACACUCCAGGCAAAGGGGAUGGCUUCCCCUUGCUCCCAGGACCCAUAGGUGAGGUCCUGGCUGAAAUGCAGACUGUCCCCAGAUGCCCCUGGGGACUUGUAGGGAUUUGGGGGAUUCAGUGUUGCAGGAGCUGGAACCCCUGCUUGCUGGACGGGUUUGAGCUGUGCUGUCGGGCCCAAGGCUCCUGGGUCUCCAGGAUGGUGCAUGAGGGCUCACACCAGCUGCUCCCUGCCACCCUUCCCCCACCUCCCACCCCUUCUCCUGGAGCCCCAGUCCUCUGGUCCUCCAAGCUCAGCUUCAAAUGCUUCCAUCACUUCUGUCUCUUCUACCUUGAGUGGUUUGUCAACCUCCAAAUCACACGGAGUUCAAGAAUAUCUCAAAUAUCGACCAGGUGCGGUGUCUCACACCUGUAAUGCCAGCGCUUUGGGAGGCCGAGGCGGGUAGAUCACCUGAGGUCAGGAGUUCGAGACCAGCCUGGCCAACUUGGUGAAACUCUGUCUCUACUAAAAAUACAAAAAUUAGCCGGGCGUGGUGGUGGGUGCCUGUAAUCCCAUCUACUUGGGAGGCUGAGGCAGGAGAAUCUCUUGAACCAGAGAGGUGGAGAUUGCAGUGAGCCAAGAUUGUGCCACUGCACUCCAGCCUGGGCAACAGAGUGAGACUCUGUCUCAACAACAACAACAAAAAGAAUAUCUCGAAUACAAAAAUUAGCUGGCUGUGGUAGUUUACACCUGUAAUCCCAGCUACUCAGGAGGCUGAGGCAGUAGAAUCUCUUGAGCCUGGGUGACAGAGCAAGACGUCAUCUCGAAAAAAAAAAAAAAGAGUAUAUCGAAUACAAAGGAAUAUCUUGAAUACAAAAAUUAGCUGGGCAUGGUGGCACACGCCUGUAAUCCUAGCUACUCAAGAGGUUGAGACAGGAGAAUCGCUUGAAUCCAGGUGUUGGAGGUUGCACUGAGCUGAGAUUGCGCCACUGCACUCCAGCCUGGGUGACAAAGCGAGACUGUGUCUCAAAAAAUAAAAAAAUACAAAAUUAAAAGAAAGAUUAUCUCCUGGCCACCCAUGGUGCAGGCUGUAAUCUGUCUCUGCUGGGGUGAAGGGACGGAGGGAGACAGGUGAGAAAUGAGAACACAGACCUGGAGACUCAGACCACCCAUGCCAGCUACCCAGGUCACUUCAGCCCAGCCCAGGGAGCCCCUGCCCAGCACAAGCCUCAUGCACAGUAGCAGUGUUAAGAUGGGCCCUUGGGCCGGGUGCAGUGGCUCACACCUGUAAUCCCAGCACUUUGGGAAGCUGAGGUGGGUGGAUCACUUGAGGUCAGGAGUUCGAGACCAGCCUGGCCAACAUGGCGAAACCCUCGUCUCUACUAAAUAUACAAAAAUUAACUGGGCGUGGUGGUGAGUGCCUGUAAUCCCAGCUAUUCGGGAGCCUGAGGCAGGGGAAUUGCUUGAACUCGGGAGGCGGAGGUUGCAGUGAGCUGAGAUCGCACCACUGUACGACAGAGCAAGACUCCAUCUCAAAAAAACAAUAAAAAGAAUUGCUGGAGGAGGGAAGUGAGGGGCGGCUGGCGGGGGACUGCUGGGCUGGUGCAGAGGGAGUCAAGGAUCCCUAAGAGAGAGGCAGGGGUGUUCAGCUCUCCCACCUCUGCUGGAUGAACUUGCAGAGCCUCCUUGGUGACUGAGCUGGUGCAGAGACUCUGCUCAGGACAACACCCUUGCCUGGGACCCCCACAUCUCUGGCCCCAGCAGCAGCCCUUGGGGGGGUCCCUUUAUCUUCCUCCACUCCUACCCAGGCUUCCUCAGCAGGAGAUGAGGCAGGAUAUUUCCACUCCCUUUCUGGAAGGUUCAGAAUGUUAAUGAGAGCUAAGCACGUAAGUCCAUUUAGGGGGAUGAACUUCUGGGAAGAGAGGAACCUGGGUCUGGGCUGACGGCCAAGGGCGGGCUGGGUGACGGUCCCUCUGAUCACGGAGCCUGUCCACCCGCUGCCCAGGGCCCUGCCUCGACCCCUCUGACCAGCCACUGAGCCCCAGAGGGAUCUCCAUGAAUGUCAGAGACAUUGACUGGAGGCCUUAUCUCCAGUGGGAGACCCCUUCUCUUCCCACCGUGGGCCGGUUCCAGCCUGGGCUGUCCAGGAAGUGACCUCUCAGGGCCUGGGAAGGGUGUGGCCAAUGGUUCUUGGUUGUACUCAACUCAUCUGCCUUGGGUCUAAGGCUGGGGUGAAUGGAAGGGCCCACCUGGACCCUGGAGGGACACCAGGCUCGUACUAAGAUCCCAAAAAGUGAAAAGCUUUCCUCAGGCCCAAGCAGAGAAACUGGACCUUGAAGCUACAUCUCUGGACUUAGUCCUCAAAGUAGGAGACAUUUGCCUCUAAGCUGUUCUCUCCUACCCCACCUUUCUGUGAGCCGCCGGUUCCCUGUUGUUCACAUCAAGCUGUGUGCUGGGCACUGGGUGCAGGAAUAGCUUGACCACAGUCUCUAUCCUGGGGGUAAAGGGGUGGCCAGCCCACAGAGGGAUGGACUGCAAACAGACAGUCCCAAAGUGCCAUGAGAGAAGCUCUCAGGGCCUGGGCGUGAUGGUUCAUGCCUGGAAUCCCAGCACUUUGGGAGGCCGAGGUGGGUGGAUCAGUUGAGGUCAGGAGUUCGAGACCAGCCUGGCCAAUAAGGUGAAACUCCAUCUCUACUAAAAAUAAAUAAAUAAAUAAAUAAAUAAAUAAAUAAUACAAAAAUUAGCCGGGCAUGGUGGCACGCACCUGUAAACCCAGCUACUUGGGAGGCUGAGGCAGGAGAAUCACUUGAACCCCAGAGGCAGAGGCUGAAGUGAGCCAAGAUUGCGUCACUGCAUUCCAGCCUGGGUGACAGAGCGAGACUCCAUCUCAAAAAAAAAAAGAAAAAAAAAAGAGAGAGAGAGACAGAGAGAGGCUCUCAGCCUGCAGGAAAGGGCUCUCUCCUUGUUGGCCAACCCAGUGGGCCCUUUAGCUGUGACGGGUGUGCCCUGGGCCCACCAGGACAGGAGCAAGGUCAGGAGGGCUGCUCUGCUCUGCAAAACAGAGGCUGAUGGAUCUGAAGUUUCUGUUACUGGGAGAAUAAAGGGAGGUGAAGGAGACACGUGGUAGGUCCCCUGGGAAGGUGGUGGGAACGCGUGUGAAAUGCUCGGAGAGGCACAGUAAGAACCGGCCUGUUUAGAAUCCAGUGUUCUACGCCUGCCCCAGGCCCCAGCAAUUCUGCUUCUAGACAUCUCCCCAUGAGAAAUGAGCACUGAGCCUCCCAAACAUGUCUUUUGGGAGGCCAAGGGGAGCGGAUCACUUGAGGUCAGGAGUUCGAGAGCAGCCUGGCCAACAGGGUGAAACCCUGUCUCUACUAAAAUGACAAAAUUAGCUGGGCGUGGUGGCAGGCGUCUGUAAUCCCAGCUACUCAGGAAGCUGAGGCAGGGAGAAUUGCUUGAACCUGGGAGGCAGAGGUUGCAGUGAGCUGAGAUGACGCCACUGCACUCUAGCCUGGGCGACAGAGCGAGACUCCGUCUCAAAAAAAUAAAAUAAAAUAAAUAACAGCCAGAGAGAGGCAGCCCUGUGCCCCAUCCAGAGCAGAGAGGAAUGUCAGGGGGUAGUGAUUGGUGGUGAACAGUAGGGUCUGGCACAGGGAAAACACAUCAGUGGCAGAGCCAGUUGUUAUAGGGGUAGGGGGAGAUACAAGGAAGGUCCAAGCCCAGGGCCUGGGGGUGGCCUGGGCACAUGCUGAGGGUUCUCUCCUGCAGGACAGCCACAGUGUGGAAGACCCUGUGCCCCUUCUGGGGUGAGGAGUACCAAGUGCACCUGCCGCCCACCUUCCACGCUGUGGCUUUCUACGUCAUGGAUGAGGAUGCCCUCAGCCGGGACGACGUUAUCGGAAAGGUCUGCCUUACAAGGGACACCAUAGCUUCUCACCCUAAGGGUUUCAGCGGGUGGGCCCACCUGACGGAGGUUGACCCUGAUGAGGAGGUGCAGGGCGAGAUCCACCUGCGGCUGGAAGUGCGCCCAGGGGCCCGGGCCUGCCAGCUACGCUGCUCUGUGCUGGAGGCCAGAUCAUGAAGAAGUCAUGCUACCCACGCUGGAAUGAGACGUUUGAAUUUGAGCUGCAGGAGGGGGCCGUGGAGGCGCUGUGCGUGGAGGCCUGGGACUGGGACCUUGUCAGCCGAAACGACUUCCUGGGCAAAGUGGUGAUCGAUGUCCAGAGACUGCGGGUGGCGCAGCAGGAGGAGGGCUGGUUCCGGCUGCAGCCCGACCAGUCCAAGAGCCGGCAGCAUGACGAGGGCAACCUGGGCUCCUUGCAGCUGGAGGUGCGGCUGCGGGACGAGACGGUGCUGCCCUCCAGCUACUACCAGCCACUGGUGCACCUGCUGUGCCACGAGGUCAAGCUGGGCAUGCAGGAUAAGCUGAGACUCCUCAGGAUGUGGUUCUGCAGCAGAUGAGGUGCGAACAAAGCCUGCUCUGCCCUGGGCACCCAGGAUGGCACUGAGUUCUAAAAGGCAAAGGGUAUGUGGUGAGGGGCCAGGCUGAGGCCCUGGUGUGGUACCAUCAUGGGCAGCAGCACCAUUUGAGGCCGGGUAGGAGAGACGUGCAGGGCCUGGCCCCCCAAGAGACCAGCAGACAAACUGAGGCGGCAGAGAGAGAGAUUCCAGUGUCACCAGGAAGACUGCAGAUCAUAACAACAAUGGUUGCUGAUUUGGCAUCAAAGAGGUGGCACUGUCAAAGCCGUAAUUGCUGAAAAUGGCACCAACAUGCUGCAGCUGGAGAGAGUGGGUGACCAACAUUUGUUUGAAGAACAGAUGAUGCUCUUUGAAUGGCUCAGCCAACAGCCCAAAGUUUUAAGGGAAGACCUCUCUGCCAGCUUCUCUUGGACAGUGUCUCAUGUAAAACCUCCAAGGCACUUACAUAGCAUAUUUUUGUGUCCACUCUCUUGCUAGUCUGUUGUACCUGGAAUAAAAAAGCAGAGGAAGUGACACCCUCACUUGAAAUGGUCACUUCCCUUCAAUGUGCUGCAGAGAACAGGACUGAUGUGGGGAAUGCUGCUGCUGCUGCUUGUCAAACAUCUACGGCUGAUGGCCACACAUUACUUCUUCAAAUGACCUUGGACCUCAGAGCCUUCACUAUAAGUAGGUACAUGGUACCUCUCCCAGGGAUGUUGUGGGACCCAUGAAGAGUCCGCUGUCUGUGAUGUGCAAGGUGCUCUGAGUCAGGUGCAGCUUGUACUGCUAUAGGAGCCUAAGAAUCUGCCUCACCUACACUCCCUCUGGGCAAUUAGGUAUGCUGAAAAUGCCCAACAGACAUUCAGGACUACAUUGGUAUCUGUUUAAGGAAAAUCCUCAGCUGCUCACACAGUAAUGAAAGAGACAAGCUAGAAAAUUACUACUUGAUAAGACUCUGCCACAGUCUCUCCAGAGGGGAAGGGAGAAGGGGUGGAUCACAGCACCAUGAAGCAUGCUUAUGAUUUUUCAACCAAACUCCCUUGAACAGCAGUUGUACUCCAAUGUGGUGAAGCUAUUUUAGCAUCUGUCAUUGUCCUGCUCAGCACACUCCACUCCCUUGCUAAAAGCUUAAAAGGUCUCUGGGAUCCUAAGCAUAUUUAACAAAGAUUUAAAAUGCUCAGGCACCAGGUAGCCUCUGGUGGCGAUGUCUGGACAGAGCUGCAGCUGGUGAGCACAGAAGGGGCUUCUUCACAUUGACUCAGAUAAACAACAUGCAAAACAGCAGCUAAGCCUCUGACUCAAAUUGAGGCAUCAAGGCCAAGUCAAGGUAGUAAGACAUAGCAAUAUCACAACCCCUCAGCUAAGGGGUCUGAUGCAGAUGCAGGACUUUCGAGUAAGUCUUGACAAAAUGCACAACCUGGCCAAGCGUGGUGGCUCACACUUGGAAUCCCAGCACUUUGGGAGGCGGAGGUGGGUGGAUCACCUAAGGCCAGGAGUUCGAGACCAGCUUGGCCAACAUUGUGAAACCCUGUCUCUACUAAAAAUAACACAAAAAUUAGCCACAUGUGGUGGCGAGUGCCUGUAGUCCCAGCUACUCAGGAGGCUGAAGCAGGAGAAUCACUUGAACCCCAGCCUUUUCUCCACAAGGCAGCAGAGUGAUUGUGUCGGUGUGGCGAUCCCCACAACGGCGUGCAGACCCUACUCCUGGGGCCAUCCGUACCCCUCUGGCCUCCUUCCCAACUCCUCACAGGCUCACUCCCCUGGGGCAGUUUCCUGGGGACCUGUCCGCCCUCUUGCUGAGCUCCUGCAGUUCCCCUUUCUCAGGGCAAUCUCUCCACCACCCUGGCUCCUGCUGCCAACCACUGCUUGUGCUCCUUCCCAGUGCUGAGUAGCUCACAUGCUAAAUGCCCUGUCUCCUCCACAGGACUAUGAGCCUCAGGGCAGGCUCGGCCACCCAUGCAGAGCCCAGGUGAGAAGGAGUACGAGGUCCAAGGGUCCAGGGAGUGAGACGACCUGCGGUGCACAAGACAUGCUAGGGCAGGGUGGUCGAGGCAGCUCCCUGGGCUUCUCCUUCCCUUUGGUGGCACUGCUCUCUAAAGCUCCACUGAUGGGAUGGUGUGUGCAUGAAGGGCAAAGGAGGCUUGCUAUUCUUUUAACUUAAUAAAGAAAAGUGAAGGUGUGACUCACCAGUCCUAAACCAGGGUGUGUCCACCUUGGCACUAUUGACACUUGGGGCUGAUCAUUAUCUGUCAUGGGAAGGGUGGCUCUCCUGUGCACUGCAGGGAAUCCCUGGAAUACCCUGGCCUUUGCCGACUAGAUACCAGUAGUACUCCCUCACCACGGUUUUGAUAACCCAAAAUAUCCUAAGAUGUUGCUCAAAUGUCCCUGGGGCAGUAGCAAAAUCACCCCGGCUGAGAACCCCUGUCCUAACUCUAAGGGACUGCAGAGAAGGGAGCCAGAGCCUGGAGACAUGACCAGACUCAGCUACAGUCACAAGGAGAAGCAUUCAAACUGUGGCCUCAGUAAGGCCAGCACCAGCUCACCCCACUGACCCUUGAUCACAACAGGUGCUAAUUCCCAAAGUCCAGUAAUUAAAGUCCUGGGAAACUCUCACCACAGGGUGGAGCAGUGGGCCCUCAGAGAAACCCCACGUACAGCUCUUUUUACCUAUACCUGACUUGAAGGGCCCCUUGUCACAUGCUGUCCUUCAUCCAAACAUCAGGGGAGUUGGGAGAGGGACCUCACCUUUGGGGGCUUGAACGGGUAAUCUGUAGGAAAGUGGAUGGUCAGGAAGAAAACACCUCCUUGGUAAGGACUGUCAUUCUGGAAGGAUGAGACACAGAAAGAGAUCAGUGCAUGUGCUAAGCCCAAAGUGCAAGAAGCAAAACUGGAGUGGUGCGCUCAGCAGCUACUACCUACCGGGCCCAUGAUGGUGGCCUGCCAGUGGAACACUACAAAACAAAAGAGAGACGGGCAUGUAAGAGACCCCCCAAGAAACAUGUCAUUCUACUGAAAACGCACUGCUAAAUUACAGCGCACUGUCUACACAAGAUGCACUCACUUCUGACACCAACUGCAAGACUGGGGUUCCCCAAACCACCCAAGAUGCAAUAACUGCCUAGGACUCCCAGAGCUCACUGAAAGUGGUUGUGCUUAAGAUUGCUGGUUAUCACAGGGAAACAACAUAGGUUAACAUCAGGAGGGUCCAAACGCAGAGUUUCUAUUCUUCUCUCUCCGUGGAGUCAGGAUGUGUUACUCUCCUGGCAUUGCUGUAUGGCAACACACACAGAACACCCAAUCAGGAAUGCUCACUGGAGCCUCCGUAUUCAGAAUUCUCAUUGGAGCUCCACCCUGAGAGCAUGACUGACUUAUUUGAAUGCCCAUAGGACUGAUCUCAGGCUCCAGUCUCCAGCUCCUCCAGGCAUGAUCCAAGCCCCCACCUUAUUUUAUUUUUUAGUUUUUUGAGAUGGUCUCACUCUGCCACCCAGGCUGGUGGGCAGUGGCAUGAUUAUAGCUCACUGCAGUCUCAAACUCCUGGGCUCAAGCUAUCCUUCUGCCUCAACCUCCUGAGGAGCUGGGACAACAGGUGUGUGCCACCACAUCUGGCUAAUUUUUUUACUUUUAUUUUUUCAUUUUUGUAGAGAUGGGGUCUUGCUAUGUUGCCCGGGCUAGGCUCUCACCUGAAAUCACAUGGCUGGUCUACUUGGUAUGGCCAUUCCUCACCCUAAAUCACAUUGUUGGUGUGCAUUAAAGCUUCCAGCCAAACAAAGACAUUCCUAUCAGGUAUGGUAUCUUACAGAUCGCCCCCUACGUGUUAAGGAUGAAGGCCAGAUCUUUUGGGGACAAGAUUAAAUUCUUUUUGUUGUUAUUGUUUUGUAGAGAUGGGGUUUUACCAUGUUGCCCAGGCUGGGCUCAAGAAAUCUGCUAGCCUCAGCCUCCCAAAGUGCUGGGAUUACAGGCGUGAGACACUGUGCUUAGCCAAGAUUAAAUUCUUUACUACACAAAUGCCAGUAACUACAAUUCAGUCAGUUCUUUGCACAGAAUUAAGCCUUGGCUAGGCUUCAGCCAUUUUCCUUAUUGCUCUUUAUAAACCCUUCUAUUCCUUGGUUCUUCUCCUGAUUCAUUGUGAAGCCCUCUUCAAAGAGUGUCUCUCAGGAGCCAACUGCCCGUGGCCCUGGAGCCUCAAGGGUGCUGCCUUCAUCUGAGUCCUCUCCUGCCCAACCCCUGGGCAGUGCCCUGUGCUCUAGGCACUCAGUAACAAGGUCACGAUGAGCCCCUCUCAUGCUUCCCUUCCAGGUCACCACCAUUUGGUGAGAGUUUAGAGCCCCCUCUUGCUGCACAUCACACCCUCUCCAGCAUCUCAGGUGACUUUCACUGCUCUACCCAUUCCCAGAAAAGCUCCUGUGUAUCAGCAAGGCUAGCCCAGUAUGGCCCAAACACUCACAUUCAAGGCUCCCAAGUCAUACAAAUGGUCCCAGGGAUAUUGACUCUAGGGCCUUGGUGGAAAAUGCCUACUCACCCACAGGAGUGGGUUGCUGGGAUCAUCUGAAGGGCCUGUUAUUACCAAGAGAAUUCUGUCUCAUAUGGAUUCAUAGUAGAUAUGGAAUUAGCCCAGAGUUUCAGACCUGGUCCUGUCCUGGGUUUCCUGUCACCUGUUUAAGUACCCCACAGGCUCUACACAACAGGAGGCCUAGGAAAGCACCAAGGUUUGGGGUGGGAGCACAAGUGCAGGGACUAAAGCAGAAGUUUCCCAAGCCCCUAGAGGUGUUCAAAAGUAGUCAAGGUGGCCCAUGAGCCCUUUUCAAUAUUUCAAAGAAAUGGUGCUGAAAAGAACACCUUUACCUGUAAUAAGCCUGCCUGAGUUAAUAAAAAUAUCACUUUUUUUUGCUUUUGACUGUUUUUAUUCCAAUUCAUGCUAAUCGUUAGUUGAAAGUAGACAUAUUUUGCCUAACAUUAAUGUGAAUGGAAUUCUUUAUUAAAUAAAAGUGUUUUGAUAAUAUAUUUCAGAACGGAAGGUUAGAAUCCUCUGGUCUUGUUCACUUUAACCCUGAGGGCUGCUGGGACACUAAGCAGUGCUUGAGAGCAGAGUCAGAAGAGAAGGCCCCAAAAGCAAGAGGACGAGAAAGGAUAUACAGGAGGGAUGCUGGAAAUGGCUGUGAGCCCAUGAGGCGGGUGUGAAAUGGCCCCAAAGGCUAGCUUCCAGUGCUGUCUGAACCUCAUCCACUGAGGUCUGACUGUGGUGGCUAGCCUUGAUGCUAGCCUCUCUUAGCACUGGGCUCUGGUGCAAGGUAAAUUUGAGCUGAGCUGAGCAUCAAGGAGCUGCCUCUAGACAGGUAAGGCUAAACAAGAACUAGUUCAAGCUUACAGCGACCCCAGUUUAAUCUGAUAUUAUCUUAAGUGACAGGUAAGAGGGGAAGCAUGCUAUGGAGACCUGGGGUGCUUGUGAGGACGACAUGAGGUAAACACUGAUUAGUGGGGAGCAGAGUGAUGAGCAGGUACCAGGAGACAGUGGAGCAGAGUCAUUCUUGUUUCUUACACUCUGCAUAGGCAGCUGGGAAACAUUUCUGCUCUGCUCCAGAAAUGAGAUUUAAACUCCCACAUAAAGCCUUUAGAGUCCUCCAUUUUCAGUGGCUCCAUCUGCCUACCGCUGGCUCCUCUAAGCUCAGUCCCCUCCCAGGACAUGCAGGCACACAUAUGAUGCCAUGCCCUCCUUUUUUCCAG
rnacentral:lncRNA from 1 species